AAGCUCAAACAUAUAUCAGAUAGAUAUUAAGUGGUCCAUAGAUAAUUUAGGGUGUUACUUGUGAGUCUAUGAUGAACCGACGACCCACCUUAUUAUAUCACAUUUCCUUCUUUUGUAGUCUUUCCAAGGUUUAACCCAUAUGAAUCCGUAAUUUCGUAUUUUGUCAAAAUAAAGCGUAUAGAUCCGUUAUCCAUAUAUGUGUGUAUCAGCUUCUAUAUGAUAAAUAUGGUAUUAAUAUGCAUCAAAAGAUUAACAUGAAUUUGGUGGCCCAAGUUUAAUACAAAAUAAACACUUUUCUUUUUAAUCUUCUGGAAGGGAUUCUGGCGUUUUGGAUGCCUGGUUCGGUGAGAAUGUUUAUAAUGUUUAGCUAACAAAGUUGAGAAUUCUGAAUUUCAGGUGCUUGUGAUUCAAAACCCCUGUGAUCUUAUCAAAGAAAGCGACCGUUUGGACAUGACCAGCCAAGAACGUAUAAACGAGAAGACACAAUCAGUAAAGCCAAAAAGGUUGAGUUCCCAGCUAAACAUGCCAUUUCCAGCGAAGGAAAGGAUCUGAUUCGACGGUGUCUAACAUAUAACAAAGCAGAUAUGCAUUAUGUUCUAACACUAGCACAAGAUUCACAUCUUUCCUGAACUAAGUAAUGAGAGUGUGUAGUCUUCACUAACAAACCAGAUCUGUUAAAGGACAAGGUCUUAGACAAUUUCAUUAUCUUCAUCAUGUUUGUUAUACUCAUCAGACAAUAUUUUGUCAGUUGGAACAUCAGCUUGGCCACUUUGAUGCUGGUUGAUUGCUUUACCCUCCUUAUUUUCAUUUUUCAGAAUAUAAUUUUCCCUGCGAUUGUUCAACAUAUUAUCUUCAGAAUGUUCUGUGUCUUUGUUACCAGACUGUGAAUCUUUUGAGAAUCAGAGCCCUCUCUGUCCCAUUGGCUGACGGUUCUUUCUAAAUGUGAACC